rnacentral:rRNA from 1 species
AGCGAACGUUAGCGGCGGGCCUAACACAUGCAAGUCGAGCGAGAAAGUGGCUUCGGCCACGAGUAAAGCGGCGGACGGGUGAGUAACACGUAGGUAAUCUUCCCUUGAGCGGGGGACAACGAGCCGAAAGGCUCGCUAAUACCGCAUACGUUUCCAGAGGCCCCGGUCUCUGGAAGGAAAGCUAGGCCGGAAGGUCUGGCACCCGAGGAGGAGCCGGCGUCGCAUCAGCUAGUUGGUGGGGUAACGGCCUACCAAGGCGAAGACGCGUAGCUGGUCUGAGAGGAUGAUCAGCCACACUGGGACUGAGACACGGCCCAGACUCCUACGGGAGGCAGCAGUGGGGAAUAUUGGACAAUGGGCGCAAGCCUGAUCCAGCCACGCCGCGUGAGUGAUGAAGGCCUUCGGGUCGUAAAGCUCUGUGGGGAGGGACGAACCGCUGCACGUUCAUAGCGUGCAGCAUGACGGUACCUCCUUAGCAAGCACCGGCUAACUUCGUGCCAGCCGCCGCAGUAA